UGGGGAAUAUUGGACAAUGGGGGCAACCCUGAUCCAGCAAUGCCGCGUGUGUGAAGAAGGCCUUCGGGUUGUAAAGCACUUUUAUCGGGAACGAAACAUUGUCGGCCAAUACCCGGCAAGACUGACGGUACCCGAGGAAUAAGCACCGGCUAACUCCGUGCCAGCAGCCGCGGUAAUACGGAGGGUGCAAGCGUUAAUCGGAAUUACUGGGCGUAAAGCGUGCGCAGGCGGUUUGUUAAGUGGGCUGUGAAAUCCCCGAGCUCAACUUGGGAAUUGCAGUGGAUACUGGCAGGCUGGAGUAUGGUAGAGGAAGGGGGAAUUCCCGGUGUAGCAGUGAAAUGCGUAGAGAUCGGGAGGAACACCAGUGGCGAAGGCGGCCUUCUGGACCAAUACUGACGCUCAUGCACGAAAGCGUGGGGAGCAAACA
rnacentral:rRNA from 1 species